UUGAUCGGUCAAAGUCGACCGUUGACUGGUCAACCUUUUAAGCUUCUAACAAAAAAAAAAAAACAAACAAAAUUUUCUAAAGAUAUUUUUGGUUUUUUUCUUUCUCCUUCUUCCUCACACCUGAAGGAGCUUUUGAGAUGCUACAGUAACAACUGGAAAAAUAAGCUGUUACGCGCUAGAUUUAGCAGUUGUUUCAAUUGCCAAAUGGUCGUGUGACCA
rnacentral:lncRNA from 1 species